UAAUUUAUCAUUGCAAUAAGGCUUUUCUGACUGAAGAAAACCACAUAAACUGCCAUUAACUUCUUGCUGAGCACAGGAACUGAAGUGCUGUUGCUAGCAUUUAUAUUUUCUAAUUACUCGCAGAUGACUAGAACUGUCAAUAUGCAGUUGGAAUAUUAGCCUUUAAGCAUUAGCUGGUUGAUGCCCUGUAUGUUUACUGGCUCAUUGAGUUACAUACCAGAUUUGCCAGAGUUGGGGAGAAAUUCGGCGAAAGAGGCUUGACUUUAAAAGGGAAAGACUUCUGAAAUCACUGAUUUGCUCAGGUAUAGUCAGUGGAAGUUACACUUUUAGGAAGCAAUGGGAGAUCCUCAUCUGGCAUAAAUUGGCAGAGCUGUAUUGAAGAGCCUCCCAUUCCAGCUAAAGAAGAUGGUGUUUCUAGAGACUGUCCCAUUGAGAGAGCUUGAUGCAUGGAUGUACCACAUGAGGUGAAAGGAAUCUACUGUUCCAAUAUAUUCUCAAGACCAAGCGCUCAGGAAAGUACUUGGGAGGGAGAGCUGGGGACAUCAUCAAAGUCUCAUUCUCCCCUAGGAUUUUGCAUGAGCAUGUUCACAUUUUUCCAGGCUGGCAUGCAGACAAAGCCAUAUUCAGUAAGUGGUUCUGAAUCUAGGGCCUGUGGGGGCAGCUGAUAAAGGAAUAGGAAUAGCCUACCAAAUCUGUACUUAGUUGCUUAUUUCUAUAUUUGCCAUCUCACCUCUGUUUGCCUGAACUCACACGCGAGAUUUACUGGAGUAAAAAUGUAUUCAGUAGCUGACUGUUCCCCUAAAGACUGAGUCCAGUGCUCCCUUUCCUUGCCCUCUGGGUUGUCAUUUACGUCUGUGCAAAGUGGGUGUAAACUCUACCCAGGUUUCAGUGUGUGGAGGACUCCGAGUUGGGAGUGUUUUAUACCCAUUCUGCAAUUGUUUUGCUUAUGACAAAAACUCUAGAGAAUCAGAGCCCUCAGUGUGAACAGGGAGCAAAAGAAUGAAACUCCUAAAGGAGAAACUCAAGUCCACCUGAACAGGCGUUUUGUGACAGGCAGGGACCUUCUUCCCCUUUGAAUCCUGUCACUUGCUUUAUUCCUAAAGACAUUCUAGUCAUUUUGUCUGCAACUGCUUUUUUAAAAUUUCAUGUGCACUGAUUUUAUCUUUGUUCCCU